AGUAAAUUACCGAAACCAAUAAUACUGACAAAGUUAUCUUCACAUGCAUUCCCUAGUUAAUUAUUGGGUGACAAACUGAAUUUGCCAACCUGUGGCAGGACCACAUAAAUGUUUCUCAAUUGCAAGACAUGUGAAAUGGAUUGCUUGAGCAAUGUAGCUGCAAUGCGUGAUAUAGUUUUUCAAGUGGAUUUCCUGGCUCGAAUGCUCCUAUUCCACCUGGUGCUAGCUUUGGUUAUCGUCCUAGAGGUUGGGGCAAGCCUCCUGUUGAUGAAUUCGGACGCCCACUAUAUGGGGACGUUUUUGGUGUCCAACAACAAGAACAACCAAUUAUGAGAGGAACUUGUUGAUAACAGUAAGCAUUGGGAUGACUUGGAGGAAGAGGAGGAACAGAUGGAAGAAGAGGAAUUGGAGGCCGGUUUUCAAUAAGUUGCCAGCCUCUCUAUCAGAGGAAGCGCAAGAUGUAGGAAAAAGGAAGGGAAGGCAAAGAAGAAGGAUUUCAAGUUUUAGGCACAAAGCUAUACAUCAAAUUCGCAUAGCAUGAAUGCUCCCCCUCCCCCAUUGGAUAUAUUCUGUUUGGUUAAUACAUUGUGAACUGUGAAAUUUGAAGGAUCUGACACAUUGAAAGUUCUUAUUGACAUGUAAAAUGUGAAGUGCUUUUGUCGAUCUUGGGCCAUCUUGGUUCAAUUAAUGAAUGGACAGGGCAGCUAGUUGUACUAUUGAGGUAGGAGUGAUGUUUAAAGGGAAUUUGAUUAGUGAA